ensembl:lncRNA
UGGGAACAAGAAUGUUCAGAGAGAGAGAGGGGUCUAGAGGUGGGAACAGGAAUGUUCAGAGAGAGAGAGGGGUCUAGAGGUGGGAACAGGAAUGUUCAGAGAGAGAGAGGGGUCUAGAGGUGGGAACAGGAAUGUUCAGAGAGAGAGAGGGGUCUAGAGGUGGGAACAGGAAUGUUCAGAGAGAGAGAGGUCUAGAGGUGGGAACAGGAACGUUCAGAGAGAGAGGGGUCUAGAGGUGGGAACAGGAACGUUCAGAGAGAGAGAGGGGUCUAGAGGUGGGAACAGGAAUGUUCAGAGAGAGAGAGAGGUCUAGAGGUGGGAACAGGAACGUUCAGAGAGAGAGAGGGG